rnacentral:rRNA from 1 species
GCAAGUCGAACGGUAACAGCGAGAGCUUGCUCUCGGCUGACGAGUGGCGGACGGGUGAGUAACGCGUGGGAAUCUGCCUAGUAGUGGGGGAUAACUCCGGGAAACCGGGGCUAAUACCGCAUACACCCUACGGGGAAAAGCGGGGGAUCUUCGGACCUCGCGCUAUUAGAUGAGCCCGCGUCCGAUUAGCUUGUUGGUAGGGUAAGCCUACCAAGGCUACGAUCGGUAGCUGGUCUGAGAGGACGAUC